rnacentral:rRNA from 1 species
GGGGGGGGGGGGGGGGGGGGGGGGGGCGGGGGGGGCGGGCGGGAGGGGGCUUGGGGGGGUACACGAGUGGCGAACGGGUGAGUAGCACGUGAGUAACCUGCCCUCAUCUCUGGGAUAACAGUCGGAAACGGUUGCUAAUACUGGAUAUGAGCUUGCAAGGCAUCUUGUGGGUUGGAAAGAUUUUUUUGGUUGGGGAUGGACUCGCGGCCGAUCAGCUUGUUGGUGAGGUAGUGGCUCACCAAGGCUUCGACGGGUAGCCGGCCUGAGAGGGCGACCGGCCACAUUGGGACUGAGAUACGGCCCAAACUCCUACGGGAGGCAGCAGUGGGGAAUAUUGCACAAUGGACGGAAGUCUGAUGCAGCAACGCCGCGUGCGGGAUGACGGCCUUCGGGUUGUAAACCGCUUUCAAUUGUGACGAAGCUUUUUGUGACGGUAGCAGUAGAAGAAGCACCGGCUAACUACGUG